rnacentral:lncRNA from 1 species
UAAGGGGUUGGUCUUUCUCUUUUUCUUUGCUCUGUUCUCCUUUUGUGAAUGGCUUCUUCCUCAUCCCCUGUUUCCUUUAUCUCAAAAAUUUCUUGAAUCUUCGGGUAAUGAGUGCCAUCUCUUCAUCCUGUUCUUCGUCUUCAGUGUCAUCAGUUUCUUCAUCUGGUGGAGCUAUGGAUUUGAGGGCAAUUAUUCUUUUCUUUUUGACUUCUUCCUCUUGAUGUUGCUUCAUGCUCAGCUCAUGAGUCAUCAAUGAUCCAAGAAGCUCUUCCAAGGGUAGAAUAUUCAAGUCCUUAGCUUCUUGGAUGGCAGUCACUUUGGCUUCUCAAGUUCUUGGUAAGGACCUGAGAAUCUUUCUUACAAGCUCACUGUUAGUAUAGGACUUGCCAAGACUCUUUAAACCAUUAAUAAUAUCAGUAAAGCGAGUAAACAUUCCAGUUAUGGACUCAUCAUGCUCUAUUUUAAACAAUUCAUAUUUAUGCACAAGCAUGUUGAUUUUAGACUCCUUUACUUGAUUGGUUCCCUCAUGGGUUACUUCUAACUUAUCCCAUAUUUCUUUAGCAGAUGAGCAAGUAGAAAUGCGAUUAAAUUCGUUAGCAUCAAGAGCACAAUAAAGAACAUUCAUUGCUUUAGCAUUUAAUUGGGCC